rnacentral:rRNA from 1 species
GACGAACGCUGGCGGCGUGCUUAACACAUGCAAGUCGAACGGAAAGGCCCUGCUUUUGUGGGGUGCUCGAGUGGCGAACGGGUGCGUAACACGUGAGUAACCUGCCCUUGACUUUGGGAUAACUUCAGGCCACUGGGGCUAAUACCGGAUAGGACCUCCUGCUGCAUGGUGGGGGUUGGAAAGUUUCGGCGGUUGGGGAUGGACUCGCGGCUUAUCAGCUUGUUGGUGGGGUAGUGGCUUACCAAGGCUUUGACGGGUAGCCGGCCUGAGAGGGUGACCGGCCACAUUGGGACUGCGAUACGGCCCAGACUCCUACGGGAGGCAGCAGUGGGGAAUAUUGCACAAUGGGCGGAAGCCUGAUGCAGCAACGCCGCGUGCGGGAGGACGGCCUUCGGGUUGUAAACCGCUUUCGCCUGUGACGAAGCGUGAGUGACGGUAAUGGGUAAAGAAGCACCGGCUAACUACGUG